UAUCCUGAAGAAUCCAAACUCAAAUCGAAUUGAGAACUGAAAUCACCCACUUCAAAUGCGCAUCCUCCCGAGGCCACCGUGCCUCCCAUCAUCAUCUCAAUCAAUCAGCAGACCCAACUUCCAUUUCUCAAUCUCAACUUAUUCUGCUUCUUCUUCAUGUUCAUCGUCAUCAUCUUCCUUUACUUUCUUUAGCUUUAAACCCUUCAAUAAGCGCUUUCAUUUCUUGAGCCCACCUCGUUCUUCCCUCAAACAAUCCAAAAAACGCCAACGGACCCUUCAAACUAAUGCACCACCACCGCCGCAGAGCAGCAUCAGGAGACUCUUGAACUUGAACAAUAACCCUAAAGAUGAUGAUGGCGAUGGUGGUGGUGAUGGUGAUGAUGAGAACGGGACUGCGAUUAAAGGGACGAUUAUAGCUGGUUUGUUGCUUGUUGGUGUUGUUGGUGGGUUUGGUUCUGUUGGGUACAUCUAUAGAGACCAGAUCAAUGUUUUCUUAUCUCAGUUUUCUAGCUUCAUUGAAGGUUAUGGCCCUGCUGGAUAUGCGCUUUUUGUUGCAGUUUAUGCUGGCCUGGAAGUACUUGCAAUACCAGCCAUUCCACUUACGAUGUCAGCUGGUCUUCUAUUUGGCCCUCUCACCGGCACAAUCCUUGUCUCUAUAAGUGGGACUAUAGCAGCAAGUGUUGCAUUUCUAAUCGCUAGAUAUUUUGCUCGUGAACGAAUACUUAAAAUGGUCGAAGGGAACAAGAAAUUUCUUGCAAUUGAUAAAGCAAUUGGAGAAAAUGCUUUCAGAGUUGUUACACUUCUCCGGUUGAGCCCAUUGCUCCCAUUUUCUCUUGGAAAUUACUUAUAUGGACUUACAUCGGUCAAGUUUGUCCCAUACGUCUUGGGAAGUUGGUUGGGGAUGCUGCCUGGAACAUGGGCGUAUGUUAGUGCCGGUGCAUUUGGUCGAGCAAUCAUUCAAGAAGAAUCAAAUGUGGGUUUAGCAGGUGGGAGUAAUCAGUUGGUGACUCUGGGUGUGGGAUUACUAGCAACAGCCCUGGCUGCAACAUACGUCACACGGUUAGCCAAGGAUGCCAUGGAAGACAUUGAAUAAGACCAUAUUAGUCUGUUGGAUAAUCAAUCUAAGAGUUUCAAUGGCUAUGGCUAUCACCAUUAGUUUCGGCUCUAUGUAAAUUCGAAACGACCACUUGUUGAAGCAAAUAUUUUGCAGUUGAAAGAAGGAAGUUAUACCUGUUUUUCUGUAAUGGGUUGUUGAAUAUUAGCUUUCUUCUCCAUCAGCUAUCAUCGUCAACGUUGGCAAUCAUACUCCAGCGAGACACUAUCUUGUAUCAGGUCGAAGUUAGCAAGAAUCAUUUGUUUUGAUAUAAUUAUUGGAUUCUUUGGAUGUGUUCUCUGAGGAAGAUGCAGAACAAUUUUUGAAGUCGUAAGUCUGAUCCUUUGAAUCAGAGUUAGCUUUCAUAGACUCAGAUAUCUGAUUACAAAGCCCAAAACUGAUUGGGAAGGUUUGCUACAAUUGUAGCACUUAGAGACUUCAACCUCAUCUUUCUUUAUUGGAGUUGCUCUUCUUGUACAAAUGGCCCUGUAU